rnacentral:rRNA from 1 species
UACGUAGGGUGCGAGCGUUAAUCGGAAUUACUGGGCGUAAAGUGUGCGCAGGCGGCCGCGCAAGUCGAGUGUGGAAAGCCCCGAGCUUAACUUGGGAAUUGCGCUCGAAACUACGUGGCUGGAGUGUGGCAGAGGAAGGUGGAAUUCCCGGUGUAGCGGUGAAAUGCGCAGAUAUCGGGAGGAACACCAAUUGCGAAGGCAGCUCGCCUGGGACGUCACUGACGCUGAGACGCGAAAGCGUGGGGGAGCAAACAGGG